AGUGAACGCUGGCGGCAGGCCUAACACAUGCAAGUCGAGCGGCAGCGCGGGGGCAACCCUGGCGGCGAGCGGCGGACGGGUGAGGAAUUCGUCGGAAUCUGCCUUUUUGUGGGGGAUAACGUAGGGAAACUUACGCUAAUACCGCAUACGUCCUACGGGAGAAAGUAGGGGACCGCAAGGCCUCACGCAGAAAGAUGAGCCGACGACCGAUUAGCUAGUUGGUGGGGUAAAGGCCCACCAAGGCGACGAUCGGUAGCUGGUCUGAGAGGAUGAUCAGCCACACUGGGACUGAGACACGGCCCAGACUCCUACGGGAGGCAGCAGUGGGGAAUAUUGGACAAUGGGCGCAAGCCUGAUCCAGCCAUGCCGCGUGUGUGAAGAAGGCCUUCGGGUUGUAAAGCACUUUUGUCCGGAAAGAAAUCCCUGGAGCUAAUACCUUCGGGGGAUGACGGUACCGGAAGAAUAAGCACCGGCUAACUUCGUG
rnacentral:rRNA from 1 species